GUCAACGGCCGUAUCAUGCCAAACCCAUCGGUUCUCGUUCGAUCACCGAAGAGGCAUCGGGCGUGAUUUGUGUUCGGACGGGUGACCGCUUGAAAACUUCACGUGCCGUUGGCU
rnacentral:rRNA from 2 species